rnacentral:lncRNA from 1 species
CCAUCAGUAAAUAGUUUUACUCACAAGGCCAUGUGCUUCCUGAAAAAGGUAAAUUAUAGAGUGGAAUUAAAUUGAUUACAGAGCUUAUGAGGACAAGAAAGAUUGAGUUGCCUUUUUUUCUGUUCCAUAGUGGCCAUAGACUUGAUAUGAAUUAAUGUCUGAAAGCAAGCCCAUACCUCUUCCAGAAAAAUCAUUCCUAAUAUACAGUUCAUGGGCUAGUGAGCCAACCUUCUUAUCCUGGCCUUUCUCUCAGCCUCCACCAUACCUCCCCCAGGUGGAGAAAGGAGAUGUGGAACAUGGGCACUUCCUUAGAGGCGUUUCCCGGAGUAGGGCCUUCGGACCUCCACAACUCCAUCUUGUGCAGGGGCCUAGAAGGAGCUUCUGGCAGAAGGACGUCAAAUUAAGUCACUGGCAGUAUCCCCUACUGAGACUCCGGGUUUUGGCAGAUGGAAUAUGUUGUGAAAGAAUGUGCUUUGUUGUGACACUUAAGCGGUAAGUCAACUCAUAAUAUGGAUCUGAUGAUAAAAGGGGAGGGCGUAGGGGAAUAAUAAUUAAAAUAUAGAGAUUGCUAUUUCCAGCUUUUUUCAUUGGAUGUAUGAGAAGUGAGGAAAAUGAGAAUGGAAUGAAGAAACUGUAGAGGAAAUAGAACUGGGGGCUUGGUCCUUCAUGAAAACCCCAGAUAUCCAGGUUUGUACUUUAGGUAUGGUUUGCAAUAGAGAAUAGCUUGCAACUUCUCCAGACUUUAUCACAAUAAAUUCAAAAGAGCAAGCA